CUAAAGCUGUUCUAAAAUACUUAAACAAUUGAAAUCAUUUUGUCUCUUCUCCAAAAGCAAGAAACCCUAUCGUUCCAUUCCAAAACCCACAAUUAGCUCAAACCCUAUCAAUUCUCUUUUGCUCUCAUCGGAAUAUAAGUUUGAAGACAUGUUAGAGGAAGUCCAGAAAAUUGAGCAAGUUGAAGAAGACUCACCUUUGAGGAUUGAUUAGAGGGAUAGUUGACUACAAUUUGCUUCAUGAUUAUUUUUGGAAUUUUUACUACUUUAAGAUAAUUAAUUAAAAGAAAG